AUACGUUUCCCUCCAGGUGUAAAACUCAGAAAUUUGUUGAAAAAUAUCUUACAGAGACCGAAAUUUACUUUCAAAACAAUUGGCUCAGUGUACUUCUUUGUUUUGUCUAUUGUUGAAGACUGAAUAAUGCUCCUAUAAGUCGUUAGGUUUUCAUUGUCGUUGGGUUACGUUCAGCUCGUUAUUAAUAUUAAUAGGAAUGUCACACUUUUAUGUACAUCGACUGAAUUAACUUUUCAUCAAGCAUGAAAAAAAUCUAUAUGGAAAGUAUGUAUAUAUAAAUGUUUGAAAAUUUAGUUGUCAUAAGAACCCUACAAGACAUAUACAUGUAUAAGUGUAAAUUAAGUCCAGUAAUUUAUUAUUUAUUCAUAUUGGACAUCGAUUAAAGACAACUACAAUCAAUCGGACGUCGUUUUCGCAAAACAUGACGUCACAUUAAAGACGUCGAUUAGAGUAUCAAACUAUUGGACGUCGAUUUGAGAAUGUG
rnacentral:lncRNA from 1 species